rnacentral:rRNA from 1 species
UGCCUCGGCGGAUCAGCCCGCUCCCGGUAAAACGGGACGGCCCGCCAGAGGACCCCUAAACUCUGUUUCUAUAUGUAACUUCUGAGUAAAACCAUAAAUAAAUCAAAACUUUCAACAACGGAUCUCUUGGUUCUGGCAUCGAUGAAGAACGCAGCAAAAUGCGAUAAGUAAUGUGAAUUGCAGAAUUCAGUGAAUCAUCGAAUCUUUGAACGCACAUUGCGCCCGCCAGUAUUCUGGCGGGCAUGCCUGUUCGAGCGUCAUUUCAACCCUCAAGCACAGCUUGGUGUUGGGACUCGCGUUAAUUCGCGUUCCUCAAAUUGAUUGGCGGUCACGUCGAGCUUCCAUAGCGUAGUAGUAAAACCCUCGUUACUGGUAAUCGUCGCGGCCACGCCGUUAAACCCCAACUUCUGAAUGUUGACCUCGGAUCAGGUAGGAAUACCCGCUGAACUUAAGCAUAUCAAUAAGCGGAGGA